GGGGACGCGCGCGGGAUCCCUCCGCUGGGACAAGUAGUGCCCUGGGACGCCGGGAUAUCUGCCCCAGCGCUGGCGCAGUCAGGAUAGAGGCCGAUGGAACUGCCUGAUCCCAGAGUGAACACAACAUGCAGCAAAGCUACAGCUGACCUGGGAAGAACACAAAGCGUUCUCAUCUCUACUUU